rnacentral:ribozyme from 1 species
UUGAAACACACACAUGCAAAAAGAAAGACUCAAAUUACAGUGUAGUAAGUAUAGAACAAAAUAGCACACGUUUAAAUGGUUAGGUUUUAGUGCAUCGCUAUUUAGU